UACGUAGGCAGCGAGCGUUGUUCGGAAUUACUGGGCGUAAAGAGUGUGUAGGCGGUGUUCCCAGUCUGUUGUGAAAUCUCCCGGCUUAACUGGGAGGGUGCAGCGGAAACUAGAAUGCUAGAGGAUGGGAGAGGUAAGCGGAAUUCCUGGUGUAGCGGUGAAAUGCGUAGAUAUCAGGAGGAACACCGGUGGUGUAAACGGCUUUCUGGACCGUAACUGACGCUGAUGCACGAAAGCGUGGGUAGCAAACAGG
rnacentral:rRNA from 1 species